rnacentral:pre_miRNA from 1 species
AAGUGAUGAUGAUGAUGAUGAUGAUGAUGAUGAUGAUGGGUAUGUAUAAGGCAGCAUAUUGGUCAUCAUCAUCAUCAUCAUCAUCAUCAUCAUCA